rnacentral:lncRNA from 1 species
ACACACGUACAGGAAAUACAGCCAGACCAGAGCCUUUGCAGUCCGCAGCUGACCGGAAGACGUUGCCUUUCAUUCAUUCAUUCUGCCCGCCUCUGUGGACUCCUUUACUAGGCGACCAGCCCUGAAACAGAAGUUGGACAUUUUUUAAAGGUUCUUGCGCUCGGCAAGGGGAGCAGAUAGAUGCUCAGGAGCGAAAGACGCAGAGAAUUGGAUCUGGCGCCUCCUAACGCAGCCCGCACAGGAGCGAAGGGGAUGAGGCUGGGAAACAUCAAAAUUUGUUUCCAAACUGAAAUCGCCCACGUUGGCUGCUGCGUGCAAUCAGUAGCCCUUCGUGUGAGUGCUGCCGGUUCUGCCUUCAGUCCGUCCAGAACCAUGGACCAUUUUAUUUGUUCCUGUCUUUCUCACAAGAACCCUUUAAGGGAAAUCGUCUUGUUCGUUCCCAUUUUGCAAAGGAGGAAAUUAGGACUAAGAAAAGCAAAGCCACUCACCCAGGA